UCGCGGACGCCGAACGCCGGCGCGGCCACUCGCGAGGCCCGGCGAGGCAGACGCGCGGACGCCGCACGCAGGCGCGGCCACUUGCCUUGCGCGCGCGGACGCAAGGCGAGGCAGGCGCGCGGACGCCCGGGUGCAGAAGUGCCGACCGGACGGACUCCCAGCAUCUCAGCAGUACAUCUGUGAAUCCAUACAUUGGUGGGCGAGCUUGAAGCCAACUCCCUGGCUGGUGAACACCUUGAAAUAUGAGAGGAGAAUGGCCAUAUGGUGGGUGGAUUCCUGGAGGACCAAAAGGAUUGAAGUUCUGUAGAAAAUUGGAUGUCCCAAAGGGAAACUGAGAUUGGGGUGUAGGAGGUGAGAACUGGCCACUUCCCUCUGAUGAGUACUGAGAUGGAGAGUCAUGAUUCAAGAGGUUUGAAAUGUUUCUGGGGUUGGGUUCCAUUGGAAGGUGGUUGUGUUCUAGAGUUGAAUCUCAAGUGCUGAGAUUUGAGCAACAAACUCAUUCAGUAUUUGUACAGGUAGCAAGCAGGCAAGAAGAGGAGGCCAACGCCCAAUGGCUAGCAACUGGAGCCUAUGGCUCUUUAUUUGUUUAACGUACUGUGUCAGAUGUACAGUAGAAGAAACAUUUUUUAUUGUCAUAUGGGCAGGCCAUAGCCCUAUGGUUGGCUUUUAUUAUUUCUUCCCUAUUGACUACUCUCACAAUGUAUCA